UACGUAGGGUGCAAGCGUUAAUCGGAAUUACUGGGCGUAAAGCGUGCGCAGGCGGUUUGCUAAGACCGAUGUGAAAUCCCCGGGCUCAACCUGGGAACUGCAUUGGUGACUGGCAGGCUAGAGUAUGGCAGAGGGGGGUAGAAUUCCACGUGUAGCAGUGAAAUGCGUAGAGAUGUGGAGGAAUACCGAUGGCGGAGGCAGCCCCCUGGGCCAAUACUGACGCUCAUGCACGAAAGCGUGGGGAGCAAACAGG
rnacentral:rRNA from 1 species